rnacentral:rRNA from 1 species
GGGGAAUAUUGCACAAUGGGCGCAAGCCUGAUGCAGCGACGCCGCGUGAGGGAUGAAGGCCUUCGGGUUGUAAACCUCUUUCAGCAGGGAAGAAGCGAAAGUGACGGUACCUGCAGAAGAAGCGCCGGCUAACUACGUGCCAGCAGCCGCGGUAAUACGUAGGGCGCAAGCGUUGUCCGGAAUUAUUGGGCGUAAAGAGCUCGUAGGCGGUUUGUCGCGUCUGCUGUGAAAACCCGAGGCUCAACCUCGGGCUUGCAGUGGGUACGGGCAGACUAGAGUGCGGUAGGGGAGACUGGAAUUCCUGGUGUAGCGGUAAAAUGCACAGAUAUCAGGAGGAACACCGAUGGCGAAGGCAGGUCUCUGGGCCGCAACUGACGCUGAGGAGCGAAAGCGUGGGUAGCAAAC